AUUUAGUGAUGGGGGCAGCUAACACACAACCCCUUAAAUCACUUCCAAUAUUCAUAAGGAGUCCCACCACUGCACUAUCGAAUCCCACAGAUUUCCCUCCUUAUACU